rnacentral:rRNA from 1 species
UUCUAAGGGCGGUGAAGUCAGACCGGAAGGACUGGUGGAGCGCUUAGAAGUGAGAAUGCCGGUAUGAGUAGCGAAAGAAGGGUGAGAAUCCCUUCCACCGAAUAUCUAAGGUUUCCUGAGGAAGGCUCGUCCGCUCAGGGUUAGUCGGGACCUAAGCCGAGGCCGAUAGGCGUAGGCGAUGGACAACAGGUAGAGAUUCCUGUACCAGUGCUAAUUGUUUAACCGAUGGGGUGACACAGAAGGAUAGGGAAUCGCACGAAUGGAAAUGUGCGUCCAAGCAGUGAGUGUGAGAAGUAGGCAAAUCCGCUUCUCGCGAAGCAUGAGCUGUGAUGGGGAAGGAAAUUAAGUACGGAAGUUCCUGAUUUCACGCUGUCAAGAAAAGCCUCUAGGAAGAGUAGUACUGCCCGUACCGCAAACCGACACAGGUAGAUGAGGAGAGAAUCCUAAGGUGAGCGAGAGAACUCUCGUUAAGGAACUCGGCAAAAUGACCCCGUAACUUCGGGAGAAGGGGUGCUCUAUUAGGGUGCAAGCCCGAGAGAGCCGCAGUGAAUAGGCCCAGGCGACUGUUUAGCAAAAACACAGGUCUCUGCAAAACCGUAAGGUGACGUAUAGGGGCUGACGCCUGCCCGGUGCUGGAAGGUUAAGAGGAGUGCUUAGCUUCGGCGAAGGUACGAAUUGAAGCCCCAGUAAACGGCGGCCGUAACUAUAACGGUCCUAAGGUAGCGAAAUUCCUUGUCGGGUAAGUUCCGACCCGCACGAAAGGCGCAACGAUCUGGGCACUGUCUCAACGAGAGACUCGGUGAAAUUAUAGUACCUGUGAAGAUGCAGGUUACCCGCGACAGGACGGAAAGACCCCGUGGAGCUUUACUGCAACCUGAUAUGGAAUGUUUGUACCGCUUGUACAGGAUAGGUAGGAGCCGAAGAGACGUGUGCGCUAGCAUACGAGGAGGCAAUGGUGGGAUACUACCCUGGCUGUAUGACCAUUCUAACCCGCCACGCUUAGCGCGUGGGGAGACAGUGUCAGGUGGGCAGUUUGACUGGGGCGGUCGCCUCCUAAAGAGUAACGGAGGCGCCCAAAGGUUCCCUCAGAAUGGAUGGAAAUCAUUCGCAGAGUGUAA